rnacentral:rRNA from 1 species
GGGCCCGCACAAGCAGUGGAGCAUGUGGUUUAAUUCGAUGCAACGCGAAGAACCUUACCAGGCCUUGACAUCCCCCGGAACUUUCUAGAGAUAGAUUGGUGCCUUCGGGAACCGGGUGACAGGUGCUGCAUGGCUGUCGUCAGCUCGUGUCGUGAGAUGUUGGGUUAAGUCCCGUAACGAGCGCAACCCUUGUCCUUAGUUGCCAGCACGUAAUGGUGGGAACUCUAUAGAGACUGCCGGUGAUAAACCGGAGGAAGGUGAGGACGACGUCAAGUCAUCAUGGCCCUUACGGGUAGGGCUACACACGUGCUACAAUGGGCAGUACAACAGGACGCAAUAUCGUGAGAUGGAGCCAAUCCUUAAAGCUGCUCCAGUCGGAUUGAGUCUGCAACUCGACUUCAUGAAGUCGGAAUCGCUAGUAAUCGC